GCCUGGGUGGCUCAGUCAGUUAAGCAUCUGACUUUGGCUCAGGUCAUGAUCUCGUGGUUUGUGGGUUAAAGUCCCACAUCAGGCU
rnacentral:tRNA from 1 species